AUCCGGCUGAUAAGUUCCAAACAGGACGAAAUGUACAUCCUGGAA
rfam:Trichobilharzia regenti genome assembly, scaffold: TRE_scaffold0017237